UCUUCUCUCGCUCGGCCAUGUCUCUUCUAGGGUUCCCCGUCUCCGCCGCCUCCCGCCUUCCUCCGCCGCCACUGCCCCUCGCCCCGCCUGCCUCGUGACCCCCCCAAACCCACCAUCCCUCUGUCUCUCCCUCUUCCGCUCCCUUGUACUCUCGUCGCCUUCUUCGCCCGGAUAUUGAGGCGGGCGCCCCAUUGCGCACGUCUGCGCGUGUUUCCCUGGAACGUUCCCAUGCCGCGAUCCGUCACUGCCAGACACUCGAGCGGGUCAGGGCAUGGAUGCAGCAACCGCCCCAUUCCUCGCGUCAGUGUGUUCUCCCGUAACCCUAGAGCAUCUUCAAGGUGAGAUCUGCCGCUUCCCGUCGUCUUCACUGUUCCCACGAGCUGAGCCAGCGAGCCCUCAGUUCUCUGCUCCCUCGAUCCCGCUGCUCUCCAUGGCGCCAUCUCCUGCGAAGGUCGCCAUCCACCAUCGAAGGUCGUCGGUCAGUUUGCAAGGGACAUAGUAUAGCUCCUUGUUCAGUUUGUUGGUAUGAGCUUGACCAUAGGUAGUGUAUCUGAUGUUUUCAUUCUUGAUCUGAAAAGAAAAACCAGUUUUACAGAAGUAACAUUUGAAUUUAGUUAAUUUUGUUUGAUAUGUAUUCCGAAUUCUUUUCCUUGCACUAUCUUCUAUUUAAUUUGUGUUAGUCAUCUGAGCAAAGAAAUCUGUUGCCCUUGUGCUACGUCCUGUAUACUAUUAGACCUCUAUCGUAUAUGUGGUAUAUAACUACACUAUCAGCCUUCUUGAUAUUUUAAGUAUUUCCCUGCUAACAAGGAUGAGCAAGGAAAUUUCUUCCCGUGGUUACACUUGCAUAUAGAGGGAGAGAGUUGGCAUGAUGACCACAAUGUGAAAUAUAACAAUAUGUUUCGUGAUUUUGCAAUAUGUGAUGCUUGAAAACUUGCUUUUAUGUCCUGACUCGAUAUUUGUGGCCUUCCUAGCAGGAUGCUUGCAGUUCCAAUACCAUCGUGACUAAUUUGUGCAAUCCUCGUUUUUUAGUUCUAAGCCUUUUGUGCUUCUUAGUUGCGACAUAGUUUGACUAGAAAACGUAACAACAAAAAAGCGUCCUCGAAAUGCCAUUCUGCUUGGUCUGAUGAGAUGCUAGAGAAUUUAGCGAAAUGGAGGAGUUUACUGAAUUAACAGGCUCUCUUGUUAUUUCAAUGUUUUUAAUGCUCACACCAUUAUGUCAUGCAAACUUAUGGAGCACUUGUCUUUGCUAAUACCUCCAAAUUAUUCUCUGCAGUGAAGAAUCAAGCUUAUCUAUUGCAGGUCAGUGUUUUUUGUAUUCAAUAAACAUUUCCAGGGGUGAAGCCGAAACUAAGCAGUGGGCCCGACCACGAUGUGGAAGGCAAGCGUGCUGACGAGGAAGACAAGCAUGUUGACGAGCGUGGGGGCGACCACGAUGUGGCUAGCAGAAGGGAUGCAUAUAGAUUUCUUAUCACCCAUGGGUCUAUAAAUAUGAGAGGUAAAAAAUUUCAGUAUAGUGCAAGGCAUGUUCUAAGUUUCAUCUUAGCGCAGGAUUCUAGGCUUAUGGCAUUUGAUCAGCUUUCUCUUGACAUGCAUAAUUGCAGCACCAUCCCGAUCUUUCCAAAAAUUAAAUUGUCCAUGAUUAUGAGAGUAACCAUAAGAAUAGACGAUAGUGGCGAGACUCGGUACGAAACAGUGCAGGAUCUUUACCCCUAGGACAGCGAGAGUGCCUACAUUCAUUUAUGUAUGUUAGGACAGCAGUUAUGAUAUGAUCUUUUGUUUAUGUAUAUUAACAUUCAAAAAUGUUGGUGAGAUCAAUAAUGUAUAUAUGAGAUGUGGUGAAACUGAACUUAUGUUGUACUCGGCGUAUUUGAUUAAAUAUAUUAACUAACGAACACAUAUUUUAUUUAUCGUCCAAUGGCAACGCAUGGGUAUUUAGCUUGAGUUGUGCGUGGGUUGCUCAAACUGCGCGCCAAUGUGGAGGCCCCGCAUCACCGCCGAUGGGCUGAUGUUGUUGCAUGUCGUGGCGGGGACGUCCGUGUGUGCACCGCUUGUGCUGGGCGCCGAUGUGGUUGCCCCUGAUCAGAAGGGACGCUGCUGGAGCUGCUGCGGGAUAUAGUGGCGGUCCACUGAUGGAGCUAGGAGCAGACGCGGAGGCAGUGGACCCGACUCUCUGUGUAGCGGUGGUAACCUACUGGUCCUUCAAGGUGCUUUGAGAAAAAUCAGUUAGGUAUUGAUUCUUAGUUCUCACUACCUCCUCGUGAUGCAAUUAAAAUUUCAGAUCUUCAUAUUUAUUUCGAACUAAUUUUUUCCGGCUGAUUGGACAAUAUCCGUUACUAACUUACUUCCUUCAAAUUACUUGCCAAUGAUCUUUGACAAUUUUUUAUAGUGUUUUAAUUUAUAUCUAACUUUAAUCCCGUAAAUUCAGCUUGUUUUAAAGGUUCCCCAUUUUUCUUUAAAAAUGUUCUAGUGAAUUUGUAUGUCUGCUCCAUUCGGCAACAUCUGCAACCUUUCAAGUUUGGCUUUUGCUCCAUUGUUCAUAUUGUAUGCUCUAUUUUCAUGUUCAGUCAUUUUGGUCUUUAUAUACGACUUGUGUUUGUGAGAAGCUUUUCCGAUGAAAGGUUAUAAGAUAUAUUACAUUGCCUUUGUUGUGCUCGGGGAUACAUGGUCAUGGAAAAUUAAGGUUUGUUCUUGCUCACUUUUGUUUCCCACCAAUAUUUUGUUAUACAUGCUUUUUUUACUGCUUGCAAGUGACAGCCCGAGCAGUCGGCAAGAUUCUAUUUCUUGUUCUAGAGUGCUAUUGCCAUUUUGCAUGAAUCAGAAUACCAAUGCAGAUGUGCCUUUUCAGUCCGUGUUUAAGAAUGAUACAAAAUUGUAUUCCUUUUGUUUCUGCUCAAAACUAAAAAUCAACUCACAAAUGGACCUGAUAUAUGAUUUUGCUCCACUUGUAGUCUGCACAGGAGAACGUUAACCCUUGGUUUCCAUCACCUUGCCUACUGUGACAAACCUAAUUUCUCUCCAUGUAAUUGCUGCAUAGACUUAUUUGUUUAUAUGUAGAGUUCAUAUAGGGAUUAGUAAACAGAUAACCUUUUUUACGAAAUGGUUAUCUAGGGAUUAGUAAACACAUGUGAUUUAUAUAAGGAUAUUUUCUCCUUAAUUAUUUAUAUAUUCUGCACUGUGUAUAAACAUCCAAGAGUGUAUAUAAUAUGAUUUUUACUGCAGGGCAUCUUCUAUGAUGUUACAAGACAGGUAAAUUGACGCUUGUAUUGAAUUGGGUUCUUCGUUGUUUAGGGAAUCUUGUAGCUGGAGAUGUAUACAUGGUUGACUCAAUCCUAAUUGUUCGAAACAAUAUCACAGAUCAAAGCUUUAUCAAGUCUCAUAAAAUGUGUGAGAAGUGUGAGAAUAGAGUUCUCAGAAAGGAGGCAUCAUGGGCAUUGUGAAAUGUAGCAGCAGGCAGCUUUGAGCAUAGGAAAUAUUGCAGGUUAUGAGGGUGUACCCCAGACAGGGCCCAAAGCAUGUGGAGAGGAAGGAUACCCACAGGCAUUUGUUGGCGUGAGCUGAUGCGAUCCCGCCGUGGCAAUUGGGAUGGGUAGAUUGCAAGGCAUGGUGGAGGCCGGUGGCAGCAUUUGGCAAGAUAACAAAGAGCGAGGCGGCGGCAGUGUACAGCGGCACGACCGUUGUGUGGCAACCGUCGCAUAGAUGUUGAAGGAGCACCAGCGACGCGCGCACACACAUGAACACACACACUGUUGUGUUGUUGGAGGCCAUGGGGCUGAGCGAGGAUGCGAGUGGUACACGUAUGAUUCUUAGUGAUCUGUCUUCACUGUUAUUUUUAUCUGGUUAAUUUGUUUUCUAUCAAAGUAGUUUGUUAGAUGAUGAAAUUUAUCUUUCAUUUUGUUCAUUCUGCUCU